GGUUAAGCUAGUAAGAGCACACGGAGGAUGCCUAGGCACCAGGAGCCGAUGAAGGACGUGGCGAACAACGAAAUGCCUCGGGGAGCUGUAAGCAAGCAUUGAUCCGGGGAUGUCCGAAUGGGGAAACCCGGCUGUCGUAAUAGGCAGUCACGCAUAUCUGAAUACAUAGGAUAUGUUGAGGCAUACGAGGGGAACUGAAACAUCUAAGUACCCUCAGGAAGAGAAAACAAUAGUGAUUCCGUAAGUAGCGGCGAGCGAACGCGGAAGAGCCUAAACCAAGGAGCUUGCUCCUUGGGGUUGUGGGACGUCUCACAUGGAGUCAGAAAGGUGUUUAUUAGACGAAGAGGUCUGGAAAGGCCCGCCAUAGAAGGUAAAAGCCCUGUAAUCGAAAGUAAAUGCCCUCCGAGACGGAUCCCGAGUACCGCGGGACACGUGAAACCCCGUGGGAAUCUGGCAGGACCAUCUGCUAAGGCUAAAUACUCCCUGGUGACCGAUAGUGAAGCAGUACCGUGAGGGAAAGGUGAAAAGCACCCCGGAAGGGGAGUGAAAUAGAACCUGAAACCGUGUGCUUACAAGAAGUCAGAGCCCUUUCUAUGGGUGAUGGCGUGCCUUUUGUAGAAUGAACCGGCGAGUUACGUUUGCGUGCAAGGUUAAGGUGAAGAGCUGGAGCCGAAGCGAAAGCGAGUCUGAAUAGGGCGAAUAAGUACGUAGGCGUAGACCCGAAACCGUGUGAUCUACCCCUGUCCAGGGUGAAGGUGCGGUAACACGCACUGGAGGCCCGAACCCACGCACGUUGAAAAGUGCGGGGAUGAGGUGGGGGUAGCGGAGAAAUUCCAAUCGAACUCGGAGAUAGCUGGUUCUCCCCGAAAUAGCUUUAGGGCUAGCCUCGGAGUAAAGAGUCGUGGAGGUAGAGCACUGAUUGGAUGCGGGGCCCGCCAAGGGUUACCAAGUUCAGUCAAACUCCGAAUGCCACAGACUUAUAUCCGGGAGUCAGACAGUGGGUGCUAAGGUCCAUUGUCAAGAGGGAAACAGCCCAGACCAUCAGCUAAGGCCCCUAAAUGUAUGUUAAGUGGGAAAGGAUGUGGAGUUGCCCAGACAACCAGGAUGUUGGCUUAGAAGCAGCCACCAUUUAAAGAGUGCGUAAUAGCUCACUGGUCGAGUGACUCUGCGCCGAAAAUGUAACGGGGCUAAACAUACUGCCGAAGCUAUGGAUUGCAUCGUAAGAUGUAGUGGUAGGGGAGCGUUGUGUACCGGGUAGAAGGUAGACCGAGAGGACUGCUGGACUGUACACAAGUGAGAAUGCCGGUAUGAGUAACGAAAAGACAUGUGAGAAUCAUGUCCGCCGAAAACCUAAGGGUUCCUGAGGAAGGCUCGUCCACUCAGGGUAAGUCGGGACCUAAGGCGAGGCCGAAAGGCGUAGUCGAAGGACAACAGGUUGAAAUUCCUGUACCAGCGUAACCGUUAUGAGCAAUGGGGGGACGCAGAAGGAUAGGGACGCGAGCUGAUGGAUGCUCGUCCAAGCAGUGAGGCCGAUGUGUAGGCAAAUCCGCACAUCAUUAAGGCU
rnacentral:rRNA from 1 species